UGGCGCAGUGGGGAUUGUGGACAUGGGGGCACCCUGAUCCAGCAAUGCCGCGUGAGUGAAGAAGGCCUUCGGGUUGUAAAGCUCUUUUGUCAGGGAAGAAACGGUGAGUUCUAAUAAAGCUUGCUAAUGACGGUACCUGAAGAAUAAGCACCGGCUAACUACGUGCCAGCAGCCGCGGUAAU
rnacentral:rRNA from 1 species